rnacentral:lncRNA from 1 species
UCAAACAUGAUCAGGGAAUGCCGAACAGGGUCCAGCACGUGGUGACAUUUACGAGGAGGGUGGAAGGGGGUGACAUGCCCAGCUGAGCAGAGUGACAGCAAAGCCAGGGAAUUUUCUAAAGCCUGGAAUUUGAAGAAACAGUAGAAAACUCAAGGCCAAAUAUGGGACGAAAAAAGAGAAGAAGAAGCAUUUUCGCUUUAUUGGUGUCUCGCUGUGGACUUCGACCUUUGCCACAGGAGAUCAGUAAAAUCGCUCAGGAAGGAGCAGCAACAGAGCUGAUGCUUUAUGGCCUGAACGGUGGUACCCUCUUCUCUUGGUUUUUGCAGCCUUGCUAUGCACGGGACACAGCGUUACUCACAUGCACCUUACCAAGUGGAUGGGCAGUUACACCACUGGGUUGGAGAGCCUGAGCCCAGCUUGUGAGAAUUUUCUGCCAGAGGACUUGAAAGUUCCUUUCAGCUCUAAAGGGAGAAAACAAACGACUGGCACUCUCUGUCCGUCAUAGUCUCCUUGGGAAGACAGAAUUGAUAUGAGUUAUUUUAACGGAGAGAAUUUUCAUAUAGGAAUAGAUUGACUACGCAUCAGAAGACUGAAAGGCAAAGGGGACACUAAGGUGGAACGGAGACGCUGAGGGAGCACUCAGGAAGCUCCUUGAAGGAAGCGUGUGGACUAGGGGUCACGUACGACUGGCACCUGAACCACUGGGAGAGGCCAACUGGCCAGUGUGGACAGUGCAUUGAGGCUGCUUGCUGGGGUGCUGGAGAAAGUGAAAAGUAAACCAACCAGCACUGCCGAGAUGAAGACGCAUUGUGAGGGUGAUGUAGACAGGAGCAGGGAACAGAACAGGAAGGAGUGAGCCCCACCUCCUCUUCCUACCUUCCUUUCAUGCCCUCUGUUGGCAGAAUCUCCCAGGGAGCAGCUGGCAAAGGGACACUGAUGUGUCAUAGGCCAGAUCUAGCAUCAAGGUAUAGGGUGAGUUUGGACCCAAGAGACAAUAGCUUAGGAACCGACAUGUGCUCCUUUGAGCUCCUUAGAAUGUUCUUGGCAGUUACUAUUAGUGUUUGGUGCUGCUUUGCUUUAUCUCAUAGCAGUCAUGAACGAAUAAGGAGCUUAAUGGAGAGUUACCAAUAAGUAAUAACUUUACAGGCUAUGACAGUGACGUCAUCAGCUCUGUGUCCAAGAUUUGGUCAUGUCCCAAACCACAAACUUAUUUUGUACCUACUACGUGCCAGGCCCAUAGUAGGUACUAGGGAAGACGUGAACCACAUGGGAUACCAAUCUUUUCCUUAAGAAGCUUUUAUCCUAGUGAGGAGAGAGAUAGACGGGAGAAAUGAGAACCUCAGUGUGACUAGUCAUUAUGACUUCAUGUAACCACAGGACAGAGACUGGGGUCUUUUUUGCUCUUUCUCCCAUUCAAUAGUUGUAGGACUGAGGAGAGUCACUUGACUUUCCUAAGCCUUGGUUUUCCCAUCUGUAAAAUGAGAAUGUUAAUAGUGCCUCUUUCCACAGGGUCAUCGAUGGAUGAAAUAAAAUAAGCCUUGGAAAGGAGUUGGUCUUAUGC